ACGCACGCUAUCGGUAUGCUUCACACAUGCAAGUCGGACGGACUAAUUAGGGCUUGCUCCAAUUAGUUAGUGGCAGACGGGUGAGUAACACGUGGGAAUCUGCCCAUCAGUACGGAAUAACUUUUAGAAAUAAAAGCUAAUACCGUAUAUUCUCUACAGAGGAAAGAUUUAUCGCUGAUGGAUGAGCCCGCGUCAGAUUAGGUAGUUGGUGAGGUAACGGCUCACCAAGCCGACGAUCUGUAGCUGGUCUGAGAGGAUGAUCAGCCACACUGGGACUGAGACACGGCCCAGACUCCUACGGGAGGCAGCAGUGGGGAAUAUUGGACAAUGGGCGAAAGCCUGAUCCAGCAAUACCGAGUGAGUGAUAAAGGCCCUAGGGUUGUAAAGCUCUUUUAGCAAGGAAGAUAAUGACGUUACUUGCAGAAAAAGCCCCGGCUAACUCCGUG
rnacentral:rRNA from 1 species